GUUAAGCGACUAAGCGUACACGGUGGAUGCCCUGGCAGUCAGAGGCGAUGAAGGACGUGCUAAUCUGCGAUAAGCGUCGGUAAGGUGAUAUGAACCGUUAUAACCGGCGAUUUCCGAAUGGGGAAACCCAGUGUGAUUCGUCACACUAUCAUUAACUGAAUCCAUAGGUUAAUGAGGCGAACCGGGGGAACUGAAACAUCUAAGUACCCCGAGGAAAAGAAAUCAACCGAGAUUCCCCCAGUAGCGGCGAGCGAACGGGGAGCAGCCCAGAGCCUGAAUCAGUGUGUGUGUUAGUGGAAGCGUCUGGAAAGGCGCGCGAUACAGGGUGACAGCCCCGUACACAAAAAUGCACAUGCUGUGAGCUCGAUGAGUAGGGCGGGACACGUGGUAUCCUGUCUGAAUAUGGGGGGACCAUCCUCCAAGGCUAAAUACUCCUGACUGACCGAUAGUGAACCAGUACCGUGAGGGAAAGGCGAAAAGAACCCCGGCGAGGGGAGUGAAAAAGAACCUGAAACCGUGUACGUACAAGCAGUGGGAGCACGCUUAGGCGUGUGACUGCGUACCUUUUGUAUAAUGGGUCAGCGACUUAUAUUCUGUAGCAAGGUUAACCGAAUAGGGGAGCCGAAGGGAAACCGAGUCUUAACUGGGCGUUAAGUUGCAGGGUAUAGACCCGAAACCCGGUGAUCUAGCCAUGGGCAGGUUGAAGGUUGGGUAACACUAACUGGAGGACCGAACCGACUAAUGUUGAAAAAUUAGCGGAUGACUUGUGGCUGGGGGUGAAAGGCCAAUCAAACCGGGAGAUAGCUGGUUCUCCCCGAAAGCUAUUUAGGUAGCGCCUCGUGAAUUCAUCUCCGGGGGUAGAGCACUGUUUCGGCAAGGGGGUCAUCCCGACUUACCAACCCGAUGCAAACUGCGAAUACCGGAGAAUGUUAUCACGGGAGACACACGGCGGGUGCUAACGUCCGUCGUGAAGAGGGAAACAACCCAGACCGCCAGCUAAGGUCCCAAAGUCAUGGUUAAGUGGGAAACGAUGUGGGAAGGCCCAGACAGCCAGGAUGUUGGCUUAGAAGCAGCCAUCAUUUAAAGAAAGCGUAAUAGCUCACUGGUCGAGUCGGCCUGCGCGGAAGAUGUAACGGGGCUAAACCAUGCACCGAAGCUGCGGCAGCGACGCUGAUGCGUUGUUGGGUAGGGGAGCGUUCUGUAAGCCUGCGAAGGUGUGCUGUGAGGCAUGCUGGAGGUAUCAGAAGUGCGAAUGCUGACAUAAGUAACGAUAAAGCGGGUGAAAAGCCCGCUCGCCGGAAGACCAAGGGUUCCUGUCCAACGUUAAUCGGGGCAGGGUGAGUCGACCCCUAAGGCGAGGCCGAAAGGCGUAGUCGAUGGGAAACAGGUUAAUAUUCCUGUACUUGGUGUUACUGCGAAGGGGGGACGGAGAAGGCUAUGUUGGCCGGGCGACGGUUGUCCCGGUUUAAGCGUGUAGGCUGGUUUUCCAGGCAAAUCCGGAAAAUCAAGGCUGAGGCGUGAUGACGAGGCACUACGGUGCUGAAGCAACAAAUGCCCUGCUUCCAGGAAAAGCCUCUAAGCAUCAGGUAACAUCAAAUCGUACCCCAAACCGACACAGGUGGUCAGGUAGAGAAUACCAAGGCGCUUGAGAGAACUCGGGUGAAGGAACUAGGCAAAAUGGUGCCGUAACUUCGGGAGAAGGCACGCUGAUAUGUAGGUGAAGCGACUUGCUCGUGGAGCUGAAAUCAGUCGAAGAUACCAGCUGGCUGCAACUGUUUAUUAAAAACACAGCACUGUGCAAACACGAAAGUGGACGUAUACGGUGUGACGCCUGCCCGGUGCCGGAAGGUUAAUUGAUGGGGUUAGCGCAAGCGAAGCUCUUGAUCGAAGCCCCGGUAAACGGCGGCCGUAACUAUAACGGUCCUAAGGUAGCGAAAUUCCUUGUCGGGUAAGUUCCGACCUGCACGAAUGGCGUAAUGAUGGCCAGGCUGUCUCCACCCGAGACUCAGUGAAAUUGAACUCGCUGUGAAGAUGCAGUGUACCCGCGGCAAGACGGAAAGACCCCGUGAACCUUUACUAUAGCUUGACACUGAACAUUGAGCCUUGAUGUGUAGGAUAGGUGGGAGGCUUUGAAGUGUGGACGCCAGUCUGCAUGGAGCCGACCUUGAAAUACCACCCUUUAAUGUUUGAUGUUCUAACGUUGACCCGUGAUCCGGGUUGCGGACAGUGUCUGGUGGGUAGUUUGACUGGGGCGGUCUCCUCCUAAAGAGUAACGGAGGAGCACGAAGGUUGGCUAAUCCUGGUCGGACAUCAGGAGGUUAGUGCAAUGGCAUAAGCCAGCUUGACUGCGAGCGUGACGGCGCGAGCAGGUGCGAAAGCAGGUCAUAGUGAUCCGGUGGUUCUGAAUGGAAGGGCCAUCGCUCAACGGAUAAAAGGUACUCCGGGGAUAACAGGCUGAUACCGCCCAAGAGUUCAUAUCGACGGCGGUGUUUGGCACCUCGAUGUCGGCUCAUCACAUCCUGGGGCUGAAGUAGGUCCCAAGGGUAUGGCUGUUCGCCAUUUAAAGUGGUACGCGAGCUGGGUUUAGAACGUCGUGAGACAGUUCGGUCCCUAUCUGCCGUGGGCGCUGGAGAACUGAGGGGGGCUGCUCCUAGUACGAGAGGACCGGAGUGGACGCAUCACUGGUGUUCGGGUUGUCAUGCCAAUGGCACUGCCCGGUAGCUAAAUGCGGAAGAGAUAAGUGCUGAAAGCAUCUAAGCACGAAACUUGCCCCGAGAUGAGUUCUCCCUGACUCCUUGAGAGUCCUGAAGGAACGUUGAAGACGACGACGUUGAUAGGCCGGGUGUGUAAGCGCAGCGAUGCGUUGAGCUAACCGGUACUAAUGAACCGUGAGG
rnacentral:rRNA from 1 species